rnacentral:misc_RNA from 1 species
UAUGGGUUAGGUUCAUCUCUGUGAGCAGUUAGCGUGUUAACCAAGGAAGAGUUAGGUUGAUUAACAGGCUUGGAAGACAUUUCUUCAUCUGGUUUAGGCAAAGAGUCAAAGAUAACAAGGAUAUAGAAAUCUUGUUCUGAAAAUGUGGAAUGAGAUAAGGAAAACGUUGAAAAAAGAGCUGUGUGUCAAUGUGAGGUUUCCCUAUGGAUGAUAGGUAUUCAUGAAACAAUUGGAGGAUAGUAUUUGUAGGAAAUAAGUCUGUUGGCUUAAUGUUUAUGCGUUGAGAGGGCUCAUGGCUCGAGAUGACACGAUGGGGUUUAAGUGUG